UGGGGAAUAUUGCACAAUGGGCGCAAGCCUGAUGCAGCCAUGCCGCGUGUGUGAAGAAGGCCUUCGGGUUGUAAAGCACUUUCAGCGGGGAGGAAGGGAGUAAAGUUAAUACCUUUGCUCAUUGACGUUACCCGCAGAAGAAGCACCGGCUAACUCCGUGCCAGCAGCCGCGGUAAUACGGAGGGUGCAAGCGUUAAUCGGAAUUACUGGGCGUAAAGCGCACGCAGGCGGUUUGUUAAGUCAGAUGUGAAAUCCCCGGGCUCAACCUGGGAUCUGCAUCUGAUACUGGCAAGCUUGAGUCUCGUAGAGGGGGGUAGAAUUCCAGGUGUAGCGGUGAAAUGCGUAGAGAUCUGGAGGAAUACCGGUGGCGAAGGCGGCCCCCUGGACGAAGACUGACGCUCAGGUGCGAAAGCGUGGGGAGCAAACAGG
rnacentral:rRNA from 1 species